rnacentral:tRNA from 11 species
CGGGUGGUCGCUGGUCGAGGUGGCGGUCUUCAAGGUGGUGCUGAACAAGCCCAAGGAGG